GAUGAACGCUAGCUACAGGCUUAACACAUGCAAGUCGAGGGGCAGCACUAGGUAGCAAUACUGAGGUGGCGACCGGCGCACGGGUGCGUAACGCGUAUCCAACCUUCCCGUUACUCUUGGAUAGCCUUCCGAAAGGGAGAUUAAUACAAGAUGGUAUUCAAAUUCCGCAUGUUAUUUGAAUUAAAGAUUUAUCGGUAACGGAUGGGGAUGCGUGACAUUAGAUAGUAGGCGGGGUAACGGCCCACCUAGUCUACGAUGUCUAGGGGUUCUGAGAGGAAGGUCCCCCACACUGGAACUGAGACACGGUCCAGACUCCUACGGGAGGCAGCAGUGAGGAAUAUUGGUCAAUGGUCGGAAGACUGAACCAGCCAAGUAGCGUGAAGGAUGAAGGUUCUAUGGAUUGUAAACUUCUUUUAUACGGGAAUAAAACACCUUACGUGUAGGGUCUUGUAUGUACCGUAUGAAUAAGCAUCGGCUAACUCCGUGCCAGCCGCCGCAGUAAGAC
rnacentral:rRNA from 1 species